GACGAACGCUGGCGGCGUGCUUAACACAUGCCAGUCGAACGGAAAGGCCCUGCUUGCAGGGUGCUCGAGUGGCGAACGGGUGAGUAACACGUGGGUGAUCUGCCCCUUACUUUGGGAUAAGCCUGGGAAACUGGGUCUAAUACUGGAUAGGACCAUGCUGUAGGUGGUGUGGUGGAAAGAUUAGUUUCGGUAAGGGAUGAGCUCGCGGCCUAUCAGCUUGUUGGUGGGGUAAUGGCCUACCAAGGCGUCGACGGGUAGCCGGCCUGAGAGGGUGGACGGCCACAUUGGGACUGAGAUACGGCCCAGACACCUACGGGAGGCAGCAGUGGGGAAUAUUGCACAAUGGGCGCAAGCCUGAUGCAGCGACGCCGCGUGGGGGAUGACGGCCUUCGGGUUGUAAACUCCUUUCAGCCAUGACGAAGCCCUUGUGGUGACGGUAGUGGUAGAAGAAGCACCGGCUAACUACGUG
rnacentral:rRNA from 1 species